ACCGAAAUAGCUCAGUUGGGAGAGCAUUAGAACAUAGAUCGAAAAGUCCCUGGUUCGAUCCCGGGUUCCGGCA
rnacentral:tRNA from 1 species